rnacentral:rRNA from 1 species
UACGAAGGACCCGAGCGUUAUCCGGAUUUAUUGGGUUUAAAGGGUGCGUAGGCGGUCUUAUAAGUCAGUGGUGAAAUCUCCAGGCUUAACCUGGAAACUGCCAUUGAAACUGUUUGUCUUGAGUACAUUUGAGGCGGGCGGAAUGUGUCAUGUAGAGGUGAAAUUCUUAGAUAUGACACAGAACACCAAUUGCGAAGGCAGCUCGCUAAACUGUAACUGACGCUGAUGCACGAAAGCGUGGGUAGCAAACAGG